ACGGCCAUACCAAAUUGAAAACACCCGUUCUCGUCCGAUCACCGAAGUUGAGCAAUAUCGAUCAGUACUUGGGAGGGUGACUAUAAGUGCACCACAUAUCUACACAUGUGAAAAGCAGUUCGACUUUGUACUU